rnacentral:rRNA from 1 species
UCCUACGGGGGGCAGCAGUGAGGAAUAUUGGUCAAUGGGAGAGAUCCUGAACCAGCCAAGCCGCGUGAGGGAAGACGGCCCUAUGGGUUGUAAACCUCUUUUGUCGGAGAACAAAACCCGGGACGUGUCCCGGACUGCGUGUAUCCGAAGAAAAAGCAUCGGCUAACUCCGUGCCAGCAGCCGCGGUAAUACGGAGGAUGCGAGCGUUAUCCGGAUUUAUUGGGUUUAAAGGGUGCGUAGGCGGUCUGUUAAGUCAGCGGUAAGAUUGCGGGGCUCAACCCCGUCGCGCCGUUGAAACUGGCAUA